rnacentral:rRNA from 1 species
UACGUAGGUGGCAAGCGUUGUCCGGAUUUACUGGGCGUAAAGAGCGCGCAGGCGGUCGUUCAAGUCGCGUGUGAAAGCCCCCGGCUCAACUGGGGAGGGUCACGCGAUACUGAUCGACUCGAAGGCAGGAGAGGGUAGUGGAAUUCCCGGUGUAGUGGUGAAAUGCGUAGAUAUCGGGAGGAACACCGAUGGCGAAGGCAGCCCCCUGGGCUGAGAUUGACGCUCAGGCACGAAAGCGUGGGGAGCAAACAGG